UUAUUUCUAAUUAUCUUCUCCUAUGUGGAUUAUUGUUUGUUUUACUGCUAUUCUUCUAAGUCUUCCAUGUCUUUGAUUUAAUUUCUAUUGAUGCCUACAUUGAAAUUUUGGAUUAAUUUUUUUUAUUCUGAUUUUAAUUCUUUUUCAAGUUGAAUUUUUGAUUGGGAUAUUGUACUGCUUUGGAACGACGACUUUUUGGGACAACUGUAUUUCAAUUCAACCGCCCUCUUCAAAAGGCCAUUAGGUUGAUUAAAUUCAACAUUCAACAGUGCAAUGGGGAUGAAAUUUAUCAUUGAAGAGGAACUAAAUAAUUUUAGAUUUUGUACAACCAAUUGAUGGAUGUCUACAGUUCCAGGGCAGUACAUUUAUCUUUUUGAUGAAUAUUACCAAAAAUGGUAUCAGGAUUAAUAAGUAUAUCCAAAAUUUAACUUCUUUUGAGUAAAUACAUAUAUUUUUACUGGUUUUUAAUGUUCAUCUGUGGAUUUCAUCAUUUUUAAAUUUGAUCAAGUAGGACAAGAAAUCCUAUGUGUCUCUGAGUUACAUUUUAUGGUUCAUUUUCACUGACCAAUUCAUUAUAAUAACUUGAUUCCCGUAUUGUGUGCAUUUAUUUAAGACUCACCCUGUAUAUACGCUUGUUUGUGAGAAUAAUCUCCCCAUCGAUCAAUUCUAUAAAAUAUCUCUUUGAAUAUAUUGCUAUGCAUUAUUUGUUUGGUAAAAUUACUUAAAAUUUUACUUCAUGUUGUUUUUGGUUAAUUUUUAUUUUGCUAUAAUAACUUAACUCCCAUAUUUUCUUCAUUGUGGGAAUAAUUAAAUUUUGCGAUGAUAUUCAAUAAAUCUGACUCGUCCUCAGGUUUCCACUUCUGCCUUUUCUAGCAUUUUUUCCGAUGAAUUUUCCUAUGUAACAUCGACUCCAGAGCAUUAUAACUAGCCUCCCCUAAGAGGAGGAGACCCGGGUCACCCCCUAACCCUGCUGUUCGGGCAUCGAUGACCUAUGUAGCAUGCAUGGGUACCCAAGGGAGUCACCACCCUCUGGUUUACGAGCUAGGUGUUCUAAC